rnacentral:rRNA from 1 species
UGAAACUGCGAAUGGCUCAUUAAAUCAGUUAUCGUUUAUUUGAUAGUACCUUACUACAUGGAUAACCGUGGUAAUUCUAGAGCUAAUACAUGCUAAAAACCUCAACUUCGGAAGGGGUGUAUUUAUUAGAUAAAAAACCAGCGCCCUUCGGGGCUCCUUGGUGAUUCAUAAUAACUAAACGAAUCGCAUGGCCUUGCGCCGGCGAUGGUUCAUUCAAAUUUCUGCCCUAUCAACUGUCGAUGGUAGGAUAGAGGCCUACCAUGGUGGUGACGGGUGACGGAGAAUUAGG